rnacentral:tRNA from 1 species
AAGGCUUUAACUUAAAUUAAAGUGUCUGGUUUGCGUCCAGGAGAUGUGGGAUAGUGUCUUGCAAGUCUUA